rnacentral:misc_RNA from 1 species
GUAUUGAAUUUGUAACUCCAAAUCAAUGCUACUUAUCAGGCAAGAACUUCUUGUCAAUUUCUCUGUUUCUGUUUCCUAGUCAUGUAUGUUUGUUUGUUCAGAAAAGACCGGGGAAGACAAGAAGAAAAAAGAGUCAUAGAGAGAGUGAAAGAGUUGCCUCUCUCUCUCUCCCAAUAUCUCUCUUCUCUCUCCUUCCCCUCUCCAAUCUUUUCUGUUGUUUGUAAUUCUUUGAUGAUCCCUCCGCAGGUUCACCUACGGAGA